ensembl:misc_RNA Metazoa_SRP Metazoan signal recognition particle RNA
GCUGGGCGUGGUGGUGCGUGCCUGUAGUCCCAGCUACUUGGGAUGCUGAGGUGGGGAGAUCACUUGAGUCCAAGAGUUCAGGGCUGCAGUGAGCUAGAACUGUGCCACUGCACUCCAGCCUGGGCAACAGAGCAAGACCCUGUCUCAA